UUGAUAGGUCAUAUAUUGGAUAAUUUUACAUUUGUGAUUCCAAAGUUGGAUAAGCUUCUGGGACCUUGCAACCUCGCAAUGAUAUUGCAUUCAAAGUGGAGACUCAGGUGGGUGAGCCUUUUGAUUUAUGUUGAGAAAUAUUUAAAAUGGCUUGCCUUGAGCCACAGAUAAUUUUGUUUCUGUUUGCUAGUUAAUGCAGAACAUGUUGGGAUAAGGAUGCUAUGUUCUGCACAUGCCUGGAUCUCCAAACCUUUUUUAUCCACUUUUUUCCAAACAGGACCUUCUUCAAAUAGUUAUAGAUUUGAAUCACUUAAAGAAGAUAAAUUCUUGACAUAUAUGUAUAUGUGCAUACAUAUAAUCGUCUGACCUUUUGUUCCUGUUCAUCCUCAAAACUUCAGAUUAUUUUUUAUAAGUCACUGGCUUGGCAGCCCUCCAAUGCAUAACUACUUACAUGCCUGUGUGUACAUGAACUUCAAAGUGUAACCACAAGAAAAAAGUCUCACUUGUCUUGCCUUAUAUAACUCAUUUGAUGGAAUCGCAUUCCAUCUCAUAUCAAAAAUCAAUUGUACUACUCAACAACGAAGUUAUUCUCAUGAUUUUUUUCCCAAGUUCAUCAGCACAAAGAAACUCGUCAGGAUACUAAGGAAAUGCCAGAGUUUAGCAGGCCUCAGAAGGAAAAAGAUUUCGGAGAGGACGAAGUUAUUCUCAGAAGGAAGAACACAAAGAAGACAAGGAGACAGUGAAAUCAGAGAGGACGACCACGCAACCUGCGGCUUCAGAAACAACAAAGGCCGUUGGAGAAAGAAGAGAGGGAUGAGAAGCGCGAGGGAGGAGAAGGUUUUUCGAAUAAAAAGGGGGAGCAAGCCGAGGGAAAGGAGGAUUGAGUAAAUAAAGGAGGACUGGGAGCACGGUAAGCCGACAGAGGGGGCGGGGAAAGGAAAUCAAAGAGGAAUUGAGAGAUCGAGCCGUGUUGUGUAACCAACUCGAGCUGGAAUGAAUGAGAGAGACCAAGUGUGGUUUCAGACGAAAGUUUCAGUGAGAAUGCUAGAAAUAGUAGGAGGUAACAUGAUUCCCGCUGUAAAUCUAGGUGUUUUGGUUGAAGGACUGUGAAUGCUGAAAACAGGAUUUAAAAGGGCUUGCGAAGGUUUAGAUUAGGGGGGUUCUGAUUUGGAGAGGCUGGAGCUCCAGGAGAGGACAGACACGAUAGAGGGUGAAAACAGGUCUGAUGCGAGAGAUAACAGAGGCUUGUAAGGAGAACGUAAGAGAAGAAAACUGGAAGAGAUUCUGGGAUUUCCGGGAUGAGAGGCCGAGAAUGACGGAGGGGAUUUGCUAAUUGGAAGAGGCUGGCUCUCGUCUUUGUUGAGACUCAUUGAUAAAGGGGUAAAAUUGAUUCCUUUCUCUUCGUCCUUUUAUCUUCGUCUGUGUUCUUACGUGUACUGUUCGAGAGGGUGGAAGUAAUUGAUUCAUAUGACUGAAGGUCGGGAGUAAUGGAAGCGUUUGAAUGCAUAUUAAUUUGUAUGAUGAAAAUGGUCAAAACGUUUAAUUGAUAUGAUUUUUUCUAUUCCAACCUAAUCUUGGAUUGCAUGUAAUAUCUUUGAUAAAAUGAACCAGGGAUAAAUCCUUACUCCAAUUAAAUACUUGUUUGUUUGUGGAAUUGGACUGCAACAUGCACUCAAUUGGGUGACCUUCGUGUUGCUCUGGUGUUUCCCCUUGUUGCCGCACAUAAGCAAGUUGCUUCUUGGUUAAUUUCCGACUGUAGACAGAAGCAAUUUUGUGCUCUUAGUAUACUUAAUUGAUAAUCAAUUCUUAUCUUCAUGUUCUUCUGAUUAUUUAUUUCUUUCAAAAUUCCUUCUGAUUUUACCUUUUUCUGUUGUAGAAUGCUAAUAUUUACAAUGGAAUUAUAAACUAUUCCCAUCAUCUUAUCUAACAAGACAAGAAUAAUUAGAACGGAG
rnacentral:lncRNA from 1 species